AUACAGAGGGUGCGAGCGUUAAUCGGAAAUACUGGGCGUAAAGCGCGCGUAGGCGGCUACUUAAGUCAGAUGUGAAAUCCCCGGGCUCAACCUGGGAACUGCAUCUGAUACUGGGUAGCUAGAGUUUAGGAGAGGGAAGUAGAAUUUCAGGUGUAGCGGUGAAAUGCAUAGAGAUCUGAAGGAAUACCAGUGGCGAAGGCGGCUUCCUGGCCUAAAACUGACGCUGAGGUGCGAAAGCGUGGGUAGCAAACGGGAUUAGAAACCCCAGUAGUCC
rnacentral:rRNA from 1 species